UGUCAGAGCGGGCUGCUCGUAUGCCCUCCGAACGAAUAAUCUCCUGUACGACGAAGUGUAAGAGUGUGGUCUUGCCGUCGGUUCCUUUUACAUCCGCCAGUUUCAGGAGCGUAUCGAGCUUGAACGCCUGAGCACCGCCACGACAUUGAUAGCAUGAAGAGAAGACACUCUAAUCGUUUAAAAGCAAAAGGAACAUCCACCAACACUUUGAGGAAUCGUUCUGCUGGACCUAGCUGAGAAAGAUCCCCUGAAAAUAAUCUCAGUUUCAGUUCCUCUUCUGUUGUUGGUGCCAUCUUCAACAAGGUUUGUAGAAGCUCUGCUGGAAGAUCAGGAUUUCCUGAAUAUUGUUUUAUUUUGCAGAUGAUGAAGAGGAAAGAAAAAAACAGAAACAAAAAGGAUGGAGGUUCACACCACUAAAGAUUGUUUAAAUGUACCCUGAGGAACCACACGAGUGAUGAAAAUGAUCUAGGGAUCUAGGUUCUGUGUCUUUGGCGAGGUGUCCCACUAGAUAGUCAGAAGAUCCUGAGAUAUGGGAGUUGAGCCAGUAGAAGGAAUCUUCGUAUAGAAUUGUCAGAAGGGACUACAGGUCCAGUUCUGAGCCUAUGGCGAGAUUCAAGGUUGACAUGUGCACAUGGUCAGGUGAUAAUGAGUUCAGGUUUUGAUUUUCGGGACUCAGUUUUAAUGUGAAUCUGGUUUGGAAUUUAUUUGUGAUCAUGUCAUACUAUUGCUUAAUAUGUUUUAUCAAGUUGAUGCGUGAAGAGGAAGAGUUCUGAAGUGCUACUGGAAGCCAAGGUCUACCACACUACAGGAACAAUUCCUUGUCUUAGGUUUUUUUAAGUGUAACGAUCGGAUCCUUACAUACUAUGGUCCGACCUCUACGACAUGCAUGCUUAGACUUUUCUAUUAUGAGAUGAGUUUUGGUAAAAAUCUCAAAAGAACAUAUCUAAGAUUUUAUUAAUUAGGUAGAAAACUAUAUAAAAAGUUUAUUUUACAAAACACCAGGAUCCA